CUGCUCUACCUCUACCUCCACCUCUCUACCUCUCUACCUCUCUACCUCUACCUCUACCCACGGUCUCCCUCUCUUUCCAUGGUCUCCCUCUCAUGUGGAGCCGAAGCUGGACUGUACUGCUGCCAUCUCGGCUCACUGCAACCUCCCUGCCUGAUUCUCCUGCCUCAGCCUGCCGAGUGCCUGCGAUUGCAGGCACGCGCUGCCACGCCUGACUGCCUCGGCCUCCCGAGGUGCCGGGAUUGCAGACGGAGUCUCGUUCACUCAGUGCUCAAUGGUGCCCAGGCUGGAGUGCAGUGGCGUGAUCUCGGCUCGCUACAACCUACACCUCCCAGCCGCCUGCCUUGGCCUCCCAAAGUGCCGAGAUUGCAGCCUCUGCCCAGCCGCCACCCCGUCUGGGAAGUGAGGAGUGUCUCUGCCUGGCCGCCCAUCGUCUGGGAUGUGAGGAGCCCCUCUGCCUGGCUGCCCAGUCUGGAAAGUGAGGAGCGUCUCCGCCCGGCCGCCAUCCCAUCUAGGAAGUGAGGAGCGUCUCUGCCCGGCCGCCCAUCGUCUGAGAUGUGGGGAGCGCCUCUGCCCCGCCGCCCCAUCUGGGAUGUGAGGAGCGCCUCUGCCCGGCCGCGACCCCGUCUGGGAGGUGAGGAGCGUCUCUGCCCGGCCGCCCCGUCUGAGAAGUGAGGAGCCACCCCAUCUGGGAAGUGAGGAGCAUCUCCGCCCGGCAGCCACCCCGUCCGGGAGGGAGGUGGGGGGUCAGCCCCCCGCCCGGCCAGCCGCCCCGUCCGGGAGGGAGGUGGGGGGGUCAGCCCCCUGCCCGGCCAGCCGCCCCGUCCGGGAGGUGAGGGGCGCCUCUGCCCGGCCGCCCCUACUGGGAAGUGAGGAGCCCCUCUGCCCGGCCACCACCCCGUCUGGGAGGUGUGCCCAACAGCUCAUUGAGAACGGGCCAGGAUGACAAUGGCGGCUUUGUGGAAUAGAAAGGCGGGAAAGGUGGGGAAAAGAUUGAGAAAUCGGAUGGUUGCCGUGUCUCUGUAGAAAGAAGUAGACAUGGGAGACUUUUCAUUUUGUUCUGCACUAAGAAAAAUUCUUCUGCCUUGGGAUCCUGUUGAUCUGUGACCUUACCCCCAACCCUGUGCUCUCUGAAACAUGUGCUGUGUCCACUCAGGGUUAAAUGGAUUAAGGGCGGUGCAAGAUGUGCUUUGUUAAACAGAUGCUUGAAGGCAGCAUGCUCGUUAAGAGUCAUCACCAAUCCCUAAUCUCAAGUAAUCAGGGACACAAACACUGCGGAAGGCCGCAGGGUCCUCUGCCUAGGAAAACCAGAGACCUUUGUUCACUUGUUUAUCUGCUGACCUUCCCUCCACUGUUGUCCCAUGACCCUGCCAAAUCCCCCUCUGUGAGAAACACCCAAGAAUUAGCAAUAAAAAAAUAAAUUAAAAAAUAAAAAAAUAAAAAAAUAAAAAAAACUCAUUAAGCUCUAAAAAAAAAAAAAAAAAAGAAAGAAAAAAAGAAAGUAGUGACCAAUUCCUGAAAAUUGGCAAAAAAAAAAAAAAGGCAAGAGUAAGGCAUUUAUCUUGUCUUUCCAGUAUGAACUCUAGUUCAAAAUAACUGAUGAGAGGAAGGUUUUGUUUGU
rnacentral:lncRNA from 10 species